AUGUUUUAUUUUUCUGUUGCUGAUCUGUGUGUCACACUCGUGGAUCUGUUCCUGCCAGCGUUUAGACAAGGGGUUGCCUGGCUGGGAUAUCCAGAGCCUUGUCAGAACACGCAAGGCAGGACUAAGGGACACAGCUUGAAGUUACAGCCUCCCUUGGUGCAGACUGGGUGUCCCAGACUUAAAGUGGUGUCUGUAGUGGGAAGAGGAGCUGCUGUAUCCCAAGUGGAAUCCCUGAUGCUGCCUCUACUAUCCACUGAAGGACUCAUCAUUGUGUGAAUAUUCCAUGAGUGGAUGAAUAACACUUUGGCACCUCUUCACACUUCCCAUCAUCAGAAAGGUGAUGCUGGGGAAAGAAUAACCAUUGCAUUUUUAUUCUAGAAAAGCAUAACAUAGAGAAGGACGUGCUCUCUCUACUGUUUCUUUGAACACUUCUGUCAGCACUAGUCUCCCUGCAAUCCCUUUCUUUUCCUUAGUACGAGGGAGUGGCUAUCAAGAAGAUGUGCUCCAUGACUCUGGGUGGUACUUAGUACGAGUCAAUGAACAUUGAAUUUUCACAGCAAAGUAAUUCAACUUGCUCUCAUUGCACAGCUCUGUAGAGGCCAGGCUUCAACCAUUCUCUUCAGUGUGGGCACUAUGUCAUUUCUCUGGUUACCAUUGAAUCUCCAAGUUUCUGUCACUUGCUUUUUCUUCUUGCAGUAACCUAAGGAACGAAUGCUGUUGAUCAACAAGCAGGUAGCUUAAAUAUUAAGAGAAAUGUAGUACAGGUAUGCCAGGGUGCGGGGACUUCAGUCUGAAAUACCUUCCAUAAAUAAAAGAUCAUAUGAUUAUUGUACUUUCCCA
rnacentral:lncRNA from 1 species